GGGAAGGUAGCUCAGUGGUAGAGCGCUUGCAUUGCAUGCAUGAGGCCCUGGGUUCAAUUCCUCAGCACCCCA
rfam:Dipodomys ordii contig_63578, whole genome shotgun sequence.